CACGGGGGGAGCAAGCGUUGUUCGGAAUCACUGGGCGUAAAGGGCGUGUAGGCGGUCAAGUAAGUGGAAUGUGAAAGCCCCCGGCUUACCCGGGGAUCUGCAUCCCAAACUGCUUGGCUUGAGUACGGGAGAGGGAUGUAGAAUUCCAGGUGUAGCGGUGAAAUGCGUAGAUAUCUGGAGGAAUACCGGUGGCGAAGGCGGCAUCCUGGACCAUUACUGACGCUGAGGCGCGAAAGCUAGGGGAGCAAACGGG
rnacentral:rRNA from 1 species